UGAACGGCCACAUUGGGACUGAGACACGGCCCAGACUCCUACGGGAGGCAGCAGUAGGGAAUUUUCGGCAAUGGGGGAAACCCUGACCGAGCAACGCCGCGUGAGUGAUGACGGCCUUCGGGUUGUAAAGCUCUGUUGUAAGGGAAGAACGGUAGAUAGAGAAUAUCUAAGUGACGGUACCUUACCAGAAAGCCACGGCUAACUACGUGCCAGCAGCCGCGGUAAUACGUAGGUGGCGAGCGUUAUCCGGAAUUAUUGGGCGUAAAGGGUGCGUAGGCGGCCUGUUAAGUAAGUGGUUAAAUUGUUGGGCUCAACCCAAUCCAGCCACUUAAACUGGCAGGCUAGAGUAUUGGAGAGGCAAGUGGAAUUCCAUGUGUAGCGGUAAAAUGCGUAGAUAUAUGGAGGAACACCAGUGGCGAAGGCGGCUUGCUAGCCAAAGACUGACGCUCAUGCACGAAAGCGUGGGGAGCAAAUAGGAUUAGAUACCCUAGUAGUCCACGCCGUAAACGAUGAAUACUAAGUAUUGGGGAAACUCAGUGCUGCAGCUAACGCAAUAAGUAUUCCGCCUGUGGAGUAUGCACGCAAGUGUGAAACAUAAAGGAAUUGACGGGGGCCCGCACAAGCGGUGGAGUAUGUGGUUUAAUUCGACGCAACGCGAAGAACCUUACCAGGCCUUGACAUCCCUUGCAAAGCUGUAGAGAUACAGUAGAGGUUAUCAAGGAGACAGGUGGUGCAUGGUUGUCGUCAGCUCGUGUCGUGAGAUGUUGGGUUAAGUCCCGCAACGAGCGCAACCCUUGUCGCUAGUUACUAACAUUCAGUUGAGGACUCUAGCGAGACUGCCGAGGUCAACUCGGAGGAAGGUGGGGAUGACGUCAAAUCAUCAUGCCCCUUAUGUUCUGGGCUACACACGUGCUACAAUGGUCGGUACAAUGAGAGGCAAUACUGUGAAGUGGAGCAAAUCACCAAAACCGAUCCCAGUUCGGAUUGUAGGCUGCAACUCGCCUACAUGAAGUUGGAGUUGCUAGUAAUCGCAGAUCAGAAUGCUGCGGUGAAUGCGUUCCCGGGUCUUGUACACACCGCCCGUCACACCAUGGAAGUUGGGGGUGCCCGAAGUCGGUUAGUUAAUCUAUCGCCUAAGGCAAAACCAAUGACUGGGGUGAAGUCGUAACAAGGUAGCCGUUCGAGAACGAGCGGCUG
rnacentral:rRNA from 1 species